rnacentral:rRNA from 1 species
GACGAACGCUGGCGGCGUGCUUAACACAUGCAAGUCGAACGGAAAUGCCCUGCUUUUGUGGGGUGCUCGAGUGGCGAACGGGUUAGUAACACGUGAGUAACCUGCCCUUGACUUUGGGAUAACUUCAGGAAACUGGGGCUAAUACCGGAUAGGAGCUCCUGCUGCAUGGUGGGGGUUGGAAAGUUUCGGCGGUUGGGGAUGGACUCGCGGCUUAUCAGCUUGUUGGUGGGGUAGUGGCUUACCAAGGCUUUGACGGGUAGCCGGCCUGAGAGGGUGACCGGCCACAUUGGGACUGAGAUACGGCCCAGACUCCUACGGGAGGCAGCAGUGGGGAAUAUUGCACAAUGGGCGGAAGACUGAUGCAGCAACGCCGAGUGCGGGAUGACGGCCUUCGGGUUGUAAACCGCUUUCGCCUGUGACGAAGCGUGAGUGACGGUAAUGGGUAAAGAAGCACCGGCUAACUACGUG